AUAUCUCUCUGUACGGGAAGGAUGAGAAGCUUCGACCAAGGUUCGAUUCGAGCGCAGCGAGAAAGCGUUGCCGCAGGCAACGACCCGAAGGGCGAAGCGCGCAGCGCUGAGUCAUCCUUCCC
rnacentral:sRNA from 2 species